GCGUAGUCGAUGGACAACAGGUUUAUAUUCCUGUACUGCUUAUAGGACUGAUGGAGUGACGGAGAAAGCUAGAAAGAGCCAGUUAUUGGAUUCUGGUCUAAGCGUUUAGGUUGAUGCACAGGAAAAUCCGUGAUAUCGAUAAGACUGAAGCGUGAUGGCGACGUGGUCUACGGACCGCUAAGUCUUUUGAAGCUAUGCUUCCAAGAAAAACUUCUAAAGAUAUGUUAUAAGUACCCGUACCUAGAACCAACACAGGUGGUCAAGGAGAGAAUCCUAAGGUGAGCGAGAGAACUAUGGUUAAGGAACUCGGCAAAAUUACCCCGUAACUUCGGAAUAAGGGGAGGUUUCUUCGGAAACCCGCAGUGAAUAGGUCCAGGCAACUGUUUACCAAAAACACAGGUCUCUGCUAAAGCGUAAGCUGAUGUAUAGGGGCUGACGCCUGCCCAGUGCUGGAAGGUUAAGAUGAUUUGUUAGGUGGACGAAAGUCGAUAACACCGAAGCUUUGAUUUGAAGCCCCAGUGAACGGCGGCGAUAACUAUAAUCGUCCAAAGGUAGCGAAAUUCCUUGUCAGGUAAGUUCUGACCCGCACGAAAGGCGUAAUGAUCUGGACGCUGUCUCAACCAUAGACUCGGUGAAAUCUUAAUACCUGUGAAAAUGCAGGUUACCCGCGACAGGACGGAAAGACCCCAUGGAGCUUUACUGUAGCUUGAUAUUGAAGUUAGGUAAUUUAUGUAGAGGAUAGGUGGUAGACUAUGAUGUAUGGACGCCAGUUCAUACGGAGUCGCCCUUGGAAUACCACCCUUAAAUUAUUUGACCUCUAACUUACUCCCGUUAUCCGGGAGGAGGACAGUGUCUGGUGGGCAGUUUGACUGGGGCGGUCGCCUCCCAAAGAGUAACGGAGGCGCUCAAAGGUUCCCUCAGAUUGGUCGGAAAUCAAUCAAAGAGUGUAAUGGUAUAAGGGAGCUUGACUGCGAGACCUACAAGUCGAGCAGGUGCGAAAGCAGGACAUAGUGAUCUGGCGGUAGAAUAUGGAAUUGCCGUCGCUUAACGGAUAAAAGUUACCCUGGGGAUAACAGGCUGAUAGCGCCCAAUAGUUCACAUAGACGGCGCUGAUUGGCACCUCGAUGUCGGCUCGUCACAUCCUGGAGGUGGAUUCGCUUCCAAGGGUUGGGCUGUUCGCCCAUUAAAGUGGCACGCGAGCUGGGUUCAGAACGUCGUGAGACAGUUCGGUCCCUAUCCGUCGUGGGCGUAGGAAAAUUGAGGAGAGCUGUUCCUAGUACGAGAGGACCGGAAUGGACAUACCUCUGGUGUAUCUGUUGUAACGCCAGUUGCAGUGCAGAGUAGCUAUGUAUGGACGGGAUAACCGCUGAAAGCAUCUAAGCGGGAAGCCUCCUCCAAGAUGAAUUUUCCCAUUCUUCGUGAAGUAAGAUUCCUUGUAGACUACGAGGUUGAUAGGCUAGAGGUGGAAGCGUAGUGAUACGUUGAGCUGACUAGUACUAAUAGAUCGAGGAUUUAACUUA
rnacentral:rRNA from 1 species